UAGUGGUGGUGGUAGUGAUAGUAGUGGUGGUGGUGGUGGUGAUAGUAGUGGUGGUGAUAGUAGUGGUGGUGGUGGUGAUAGUAGUGGUGGUGGUGGUGAUAGUAGUGGUGGUGGUAGUGAUAGUGGUAGUGGUAGUAGUGGUGGUGGUAGUGGUGGUAGUAGUAGUUGUUUAAAAAAGAAAAAAAUAUAUAUUUUAUCAGGGAGUCAUACUGAGGCCAAGAUCUCUUUUACAGAUGAGCCCUGAAUUAAAACAUAUAUAUUAAAUCAUAUGAUUAUGUUUGGUUAUAAUGAACAUACCUUUUUGUCAGGUAGUAAAACAGCUCUUUUCAUCCUCAGCCUCACCAACAGAUGUCCCCUCUACAGUUUCAGCUGUUUCCCCUGCAGCCCCUCCUGCCAACCCCUCUGCCCCCCCUGGCAGAGCCUUCAUCAGAAGACACAGGAUGGCUCUAGAGACUCGCCUGGGACUCUUACAGUCCUUAUUCCUGCGUCUCCAGGAUUGUGGGGUUCUAAAUGGCGAGGAGAGGGAGGAGGUGGACAGCAAAUCCACCAAGACCCUACAGAACCAAGCCCUGCUGAACAUGGUGGUAAGGAAGGGGUCUCGCGCCCAGGAACACUUCUACCAGGUCCUGAAGGAAGUAGAUCCCUGCCUGGUCGAAGACCUGGAAGAGCAGACAGUCUGAGGCAGGUUGCCAUGGAUACAACCUCAGAAGAUAUCAAAACAUUUAUCAGAGACAGAGAGCAGCACUUUGAGGAGGAGCCAUCCUGACCAGAGGUGGUUGGUGUGUCAUGUGAUUGGACACCAUUUUCACCAGCACUCCCAUCAGUCUGUAGUUUACUAUACAAGCCCCAGGUCUCAGGCAAGAUGACAUCACUGUUUUUUAUUUUACCUUUAUUUAACUAGGCAAGUCAGUUAAGAACAAAUUCUUAUUUUCAAUGACGGCCUAGUGGGUUAACUGCCUGUUCAGGGGCAGAAUGACAGAUUUGUACCUUGUCAGCUCGGGGAUUUGAACUUGCAACCUUCCGGUUACUAGUCCAACGCUCUAACCACUAGGCUACCCUGCCGCCCUGUGAGGCUACUGUCUACCAGACAACCUACCUGUGUUACUCUGGUACACUGGCUAUAAACAAGAUUUUUGAAUUUCUAUCUGGAACAUGGUGAAUGUUGAAUCAUCUUGGACAGGGAAGCUGAAAGGUCAAAUAUACUGUUAGGCUUUCUACUGUCAAGUUUAUACCUUCACUAUUGCACUGAAAUGUUUUGAUUGGGAAGUUGUCUAAAUGGGAUAUCAUUUUUUGUGAGUGAAGGAAAAGCAGCCAACAAGUGCUCAGCAUAUGUGGGAACUCCUUCAAGACUGUUGGAAAAGCAUUCCUCAUGAAGCUGGUUGAGGGAAUGCCAAGAUUGUGCAAAGCUGUCAUCAAGGCAAAGGGUGGCUACUUUGAAGAAUCUCAAAUAUAAAAUACAUUCUAUAUUUAACACUUUUUUUGGUUACUACAUGAUUCCAUAUGUUUUGUUUCAUAGCUUUGAUGUCUUCACUAUUAAUCUACAAUGUAGAAAAUAGUACAAAUAAAGAAACCCUGGAAUGAG